rnacentral:lncRNA from 1 species
UUAUCUUCUCUCUUUCAAGGCAAAAAAGGACACAGCUUCUCAGCGUCUGACGUCCGCCUGUCAGACUUCUUGGCCCUCGGGCUGGAAAAACUCUGGCGUUCUCAGGAAUCCUUGCAAGCCUGGCUCCGAGGGGAAGCUCACCCGUGCAGACCACAGGGAGGAGCGAGAAGCCUUCAAGGCGCAGACCAGGUUGGACUAGAUUCAGAAGCCUAAUUACCACCAGAAAAUUAAAGAAAGCACUUUUCCUGUCCAAGUCAAAACUGGUUCUCUUCCACAUCCAAAGUGUGUGGGGACGACAAGAGACACUGGCUCAUCACCCGGCUCCCAGAGAAACACAAUGGAGGCAACCACCAGGGUCUGCUGGCAUAACGUCAGGAGAGUCAGAAAUCACCAGGAGUGGUGAACUGAGGACGGUCUAGAACCAGGGAUUGGUUUGGAUCGGAGGAACCACACCAAAGCUGGUUUCCAGGAGGACCCGGACUUGGGAGCAGAAUGGAGACAGGAGGCACGAGGUCUCGGAGGAAGUGCUACGACGUCUGGUGAGCAAGGAGAUGUAGCAGAUGUGCAGGGGCCAAUACUGAUGCAUUCCAGAUGGUCACGGCUGGACCAGCAGGCAGAUGGACAUUACUGAUGGGGACGAGGAGUUUGGAAGGGUGGGAUUGUCACAUCCUGUCAGGGGCACAGCGUGACUUAAUGAAACUGGUCAAGAGGGGUUGAGAUCUGGGGUAGCUGAGCCCUCCGCCGGCGAAGGGUUCUUCUUUAGAGUGUGGCCAAGCUGGCCGGGAACCCAGUUUUUCUGACUCCUGUUUUUUUCUUUACUCCAGGCUGCUGCCCAAAUAAAACCUUUACCUCAAGCUACGCA